AGGCUUGAACCUUAAGGAAAGGCAUCUAACUGAUAACUAGAUAUUAUGAGGUUCAAUUCCACACAAGCUCU
rnacentral:tRNA from 1 species